GUAUAACAGGGUCGCAGCCUGAUGCAGCCAUGCCGCGUGUGUGAAGAAGGCCUUCGGGUUGUAAAGCACUUUCAGUCAGGAGGAAAGGUUAGUAGUUAAUACCUGCUAGCUGUGACGUUACUGACAGAAGAAGCACCGGCUAACUCCGUGCCAGCAGCCGCGGUAAUACGGAGGGUGCGAGCGUUAAUCGGAAUUACUGGGCGUAAAGCGUACGCAGGCGGUUUGUUAAGCGAGAUGUGAAAGCCCCGGGCUUAACCUGGGAACUGCAUUUCGAACUGGCAAACUAGAGUGUGAUAGAGGGUGGUAGAAUUUCAGGUGUAGCGGUGAAAUGCGUAGAGAUCUGAAGGAAUACCGAUGGCGAAGGCAGCCACCUGGGUCAACACUGACGCUCAUGUACGAA
rnacentral:rRNA from 1 species